ACUAUACCGUGUACAAUUCCACUCGGUCAUACCCUUCAUCAUGAAGCAAUCUCACUGCAUUUUAAGAGAGGUUGAAGCAUUUUUACAACCUCAGUAAUGGGAUUUUGGCAGAUGGAGGGAGAAAUGGCCCAGCCUUUAUUUUCAGUUGUGCCGUACAGGAGGGCGACCGCUGUCGCCCCCGGGGCACCACCUCUGCCGGGCGUGCGACCUCUUGCCCAGGAACCCCAGAAAGGAGGCUCGGGGGCUUAAGCUGCUUUCAAAUGUCUGCCACUUGCGACCCUCCUCUGUUUCGGCUCCUCGUCCUCAUUUUCCUAGAAGAGGAAAGGACAGUCGCCACAUUUCCACCAAGUUUACUUCGUUUGGCAUAGAAGACGAGCCUUAAAACCAGACGCAGUUGAAAAGCAACUCUGAUUCCAGGACGCACUGUCCAGCCAUAGUGACGCAGCUUCACCCCGAGUGCCCAGGUGGGGGGCGGGGUGGUGGCCUGCGUGGGACUCACGUGCCAUCCCCACGGGUCUCAGAACCCAGAAUUGCCAGGCUCUGUCCCUGCUUGGUUAAAAUUUUAUGUGAAUGUGGCCUUUUCCCCAUAAGACCAUAUCGUUAUUGUAUAAAAAUCAUUUUCUCUAAAUCUUCCAAUAAAGUGACGUUCGAGCACAAUGGGCCACGUCUGUCUUACGGCUUCUGCUUCCCUGGAGAGAAGAAGGCCCUUUUCCUGGCCCACUGAAUCCACCACUGGCCUCCUCCGAGUCGCACUCACAGACACGCGUGGAUCAGGUUUAAUCUAAACACCUGUGGCCCAGUCAGAUGGAUGGUCCUUCCCUCGUCCGCCUGCCGCUCCCCAUCCUCCACAUGGCCAGCAGGUGGCCCUGAUGGGUGUGGCGCUCUCACCACCUGGGCGCCAUCCCUGCCAGGUGUGAGACCUCAACCCUUUUCCUGGGUCCUUUCCGGCACACGGGCUCUCAGCAUCCUCACCCUGGCGACCCUCCCAGGACCUCCCCGCAGGACUGCGUCAGGACUAGGAAGCCCUCGGACCCCAGGAUGGCCCUUUGCAGGUCUCAGGCACCACAGAGCUCCUUUAGCAAACUCUGAUGCUGUUUGAUGGUAUCCAGCUCACCAGAGGCUCCAUUCGGACAGCACCAGCGCAGUGCCCGCCUGCCUUCCGGGAAGUUCGCAUUUUAGCAGCAGAAACGUUUCCUCAAAGAGAAGGCUUCCCUGGAGUCCCUGCGCACGGAGCUGCUGAAGACGGAGCUGCCCACGGGAGCAGAGUGGGGUGUCCGGGACCUGAAGGCGUCCAGCCCUCCAGAGCCCAGGGCUCCACCAGCCGCACACACUCCAGCCACUGUGCUCAAGACAGCACACGGGUUCCCACCCGCCUCCCAAAGCAGAUCUGGGCCAAGUGGAUUAGAGUUUUAAAUUCAUUCUUUUUAAAAAAUACAUGAAGAUUCAAAGAUGGGCAGAUGCAUCAAAUAAAAUACUCUAUAUUGUAUUUAAUAGGGCUUCUGUCCAAAAAAAAAAAAAAA
rnacentral:lncRNA from 1 species